rnacentral:rRNA from 1 species
AGGCGAAGGUUAAGGCCCUCAGUAGCGGCGAGUGAAGCGGCAAGAGCUCAGAUUUGAAAUCGUGCUUUGCGGCACGAGUUGUAGAUUGCAGGUUGGAGUCUGUGUGGAAGGCGGUGUCCAAGUCCCUUGGAACAGGGCGCCCAGGAGGGUGAGAGCCCCGUGGGAUGCCGGCGGAAGCAGUGAGGCCCUUCUGACGAGUCGAGUUGUUUGGGAAU